CCUACGGGUGGCAGCAGUGGGGAAUAUUGCACAAUGGGGGAAACCCUGAUGCAGCGACGCCGCGUGAGUGAAGAAGUAUUUCGGUACGUAAAGCUCUAUCAGCAGGGAAGAAAAAAGGACGGUACCUGAGUAAGACGCCCCGGCUAAAUAAGGGCCAGCAGCCGCGGUAAUACGGGGGGGGCAAGCGUUAUCCGGAAUUACGGGGUUGAAAGGGAGCGUAGACGGCAAGGCAAGUCCUGAGUGGAAGGCGGAAGCUCAACUGCCGAACUGUUGUGGAAACUGUAUGGCUUGAGUGCAGGAGGGGUAAGCGGAAUUCCUGGUGUAGCGGUGAAAUGCGUAGAUAUCAGGAGGAACACCGGUGGCGAAGGCGGCUUACUGGACUGUAACUGACGUUGAGGCUCGAAAGCGUGGGGAGCAAACAGGAUUAGAUACCCUUGUAGUC
rnacentral:rRNA from 1 species